GACGAACGCUGGCGGCGUGCCUAAUACAUGCAAGUAGAACGCUGAAGGAGGAGCUUGCUUCUCUGGAUGAGUUGCGAACGGGUGAGUAACGCGUAGGUAACCUGCCUGGUAGUGGGGGAUAACUAUUGGAAACGAUAGCUAAUACCGCAUAAUAGCAGUUGUUGCAUGAUAACUGUUUGAAAGGUGCAAUUGCACCGCUACCAGAUGGACCUGCGUUGUAUUAGCUAGUUGGUGGGGUAACGGCUCACCAAGGCGACGAUACAUAGCCGACCUGAGAGGGUGAUCGGCCACACUGGGACUGAGACACGGCCCAGACUCCUACGGGAGGCAGCAGUAGGGAAUCUUCGGCAAUGGACGGAAGUCUGACCGAGCAACGCCGCGGGAGUGAAGAAGGUUGUCGGAUCGUAAAGCUCUGUUGUAAGAGAAGAACGAGUGUGAGAGUGGAAAGUUCACACUGUGACGGUAUCUUACCAGAAAGGGACGGCUAACUACGUG
rnacentral:rRNA from 1 species